rnacentral:rRNA from 1 species
CAGUCGCCGCGGUAAUACAGAGGAUGCAAGCGUUAUCCGGAAUGAUUGGGCGUAAAGCGUCUGUAGGUGGCUUUUCAAGUCCGCCGUCAAAUCCCAGGGCUCAACCCUGGACAGGCGGUGGAAACUACCAAGCUGGAGUACGGUAGGGGCAAAGGGAAUUUCCGGUGGAGCGGUGAAAUGCGUUGAGAUCGAAAGGAACACCAAUGGCGAAAGCACUCUGCUAGGCCGACACUGACACUAAGAGACGAAAGCUAGGGGAGCAAAUGGGAUUAGAGACCCCCGUAGUCCCUGUCUCUUAUAC